CAGUCGCCGCGGUAAUACGUAGGUGGCAAGCGUUGUCCGGAAUUAUUGGGCGUAAAGGGCUCGCAGGCGGUUUCUUAAGUCUGAUGUGAAAGCCCCCGGCUCAACCGGGGAGGGUCAUUGGAAACUGGGAAACUUGAGUGCAGAAGAGGAGAGUGGAAUUCCACGUGUAGCGGUGAAAUGCGUAGAGAUGUGGAGGAACACCAGUGGCGAAGGCGACUCUCCGGUCUGUAACUGACGCUGAGGAGCGAAAGCGUGGGGAACGAACAGGAUUAGAUACCCCUGUAGUCCCUGUCUCUUAUAC
rnacentral:rRNA from 1 species